AGGUCAGUUGAGGGUACUCUGCAAGAAGUGUGUACAGUUAAUUAAAAGAAAAUCCUCUAGAGAGACUCUUCAUAAGCUCAAGGUUUCUAUGUUCAUCUCUUUCUGAAAGCUUUACUCAUUCAUGAUUCAGUAUUAUAGAUAUGUCCUGUGGACUUCUUUUUUAAAAGUUUUGCCUAACAAAACACCUGGAGGAGGGAACCUGUUUCAGAAUCACAUAACCUCAGCUUGAUAAGAAUCUCAAGAGAUCACACUGAGUGGCUUCCACUUAGAGAAGGUAACAAGACCACUUUACAGAGAAGACAACAAAGGUCCAAGAUAUUAUACAACUCGCUCAAGGCCACUACAUCAAGAUUAAGUUGGAUUUGCAAAUGUUCCAUGGAAAGCCCAAGGCUCUCAGGAACUGAAGCCCAAAGUGCUUAGUCAUCCAAGAUAUAUAUUACCUUACAGAGGAAGAAACUGGAACAUUUGUUCACACUGCAGAAGAGCCCCUUUCUCUGCUGCCUUUGCUGCCAUCAACAGUAAACACUAGAAGUUUAGGAGCUGAAACCCCAUUGAUUGGCAGACUGCUCUGUCAAGACUAUGGAAUCAAUGGUAGUUUCUCAACAUGAGCUUUGGAGAAGAAGGGAAGACAACUUAUCUGAGGUUCUCUAUAUUCCAGGAAGCCUGAACCUCUGGGAUUGGAUCCCCAGGUGAGCAGCUGACUCAGUUCUCACACCUGCUGCCCUGCCCUCGUUCUGGAGUGACUGUCAGAAGGGGAUUGAGCCUCAGCCACCUGGCCUAGGGCCAGUCCUCCUCUCCAACAACCCAGAUCCUGGAGUUGUGUGCCUAGUUUUGGACUCUCCUUUCCAUCAAAUGACUUUCCCUCUAGAAAGUCCUUUCGUCUCUCCUGCAGGCAGCAUCUGUUGGAUUCACCCUAGUCCAGGAUUAAUCUAUGGCCAGAGGGCCACAUCCA
rnacentral:lncRNA from 1 species